rnacentral:tRNA from 1 species
GCCUUCGUGGUGUAGCGGUCAGUACACUCGGCGCGUAUUCGAGAGGUCCGUGGUUCGAGUCCCGGCUGGGGCA